rfam:Oryza sativa (indica cultivar-group) chromosome 1, whole genome shotgun sequence.
AAAUAGACAAACCCUAUAUUUCUGUGUCUAACUUUGACUGUCCGUCUUAUAUGAAAUUUUUUUAUAAUUCGUAUUUUCAUUGUUGUUAGAUGAUAAAACAUGAUUAAUAUUUUAUACAUGACUUGUCUUUUUAAUUUUUUUCAUAAUUUUUUCAAAUAAGACGAACGGUUAAACAUUGGACACGGAAAGCAGGGUGUCAUUUUUC